rnacentral:rRNA from 1 species
GACGAACGCUGGCGGCGUGCUUAACACAUGCAAGUCGAACGGAAAGGCCCGGCUUUUGUGGGGUGCUCGAGUGGCGAACGGGUGAGUAACACGUGAGUAACCUGCCUUUUACUUUGGGAUAACGUCAGGAAACGGGGGCUAAUACUGGAUAUGAGCUGGUCCUCGCUGGUGGGGUGUGGAAAGUUUCGGGGGUUGGGGAGGGUCGCCUGGCUUAUUAGCUGGUUGGUGGGGGAGUGGCUGACCAAGGAUUCGGCGGGUAGCCGGCCUGGGAAGGUGGCCGGCCACAUUCGGACUAGGAUCCGACGCGGAGUACUACGGGAGACAGUAGCGGGAUAGAUUGAACAAUGGGCCGGCGCCUGAUGCAGAGACGCCGCGUGCGGGAUGUCGGCAUUCGGUUUGUAACACGCUUUAGCCUGUGACAAAGCUUGAGUGACGGUAAUGGGUAAAGAAGCACCGGCUAACUACGUG